rnacentral:rRNA from 1 species
GGCGUACGGCUCAGUACCUCGUAGUCAACCUGCCCUGGAGACAUGGACAACCCCGGGAAACUGGGAUUAAUCCGUGAUAGGUCAUCUCAUCUGGAAAGAGAGAUGGCUUAAAGGGGUGCGCGGGCUUCUUCCGCGUAUUUGCUCCAGGAUGGGACUGCGUCCGAUCAGGCUGUUGGCGGGGUAAUGGCCCACCAAGCCAGUAACCGGUACGGGCCUUGAGAGAGGUGGCCCGGAGAUGGACACUGAGAGAAGGGUCCAGGUCCUACGGGGCGCAGCAGGCGCGAAACCUUCGCAAUGCGCGAAAGCGUGACGAGGUUAAUCCGAGUGAUUUCCGCUGAGGAGAUCUUUUGUCAGCUGUAAAUAGGCAGGCGAAUAAGGGGAGGGCAAGCCUGGUGUCAGCCGCCGCGGUAAUACCAGCUCCUCGAGUGGUCGGGGCGAUUAUUGGGCCUAAAGCAUCCGUAGCCGGUUCCGUAGGUCCUCUGUUAAAUCCAACCGCUCAACGGUUGACCUGCAGAGGAUACCGCGAGACUAGGAGGCGGGAGAGGCGGACGGUACUCCGCGUGUAGGGGUAAAAUCCUUUGAUCCGCGGAAGA